GUCCACGCCGUAAACGAUGUCAACUAGCCGUUGGAAUCCUUGAGAUUUUAGUGGCGCAGCUAACGCAUUAAGUUGACCGCCUGGGGAGUACGGCCGCAAGGUUAAACUCAAAUGAAUUGACGGGGCCGCACAAGCGGUGGAGCAUGUGGUUUAAUUCGAAGCAACGCGAAGAACCUUACCAGGCCUUGACAUGCAGAGAACUUUCCAGAGAUGGAUUGGUGCCUUCGGGAGCUCUGACACAGGUGCUGCAUGGCUGUCGU
rnacentral:rRNA from 1 species